AUCAACACUUUCUAAAUUGAAGAAAUUAAAUAUAACACGUAAUUUUUGAAAAUAAUUCCAAGGAUACGUGUUGUCACGUGAUAGACUUGAUAUGUUUGGGACCGUUCUCUUCCAUUUUUUUCCCGUUCUCUUCCAUUAUUUCUCUCUAUCUCAAAUCUCCGUCGGAGAAUCGGUUGGAUUCUGGCAGGUUAGUGCUUUUGGUAUGGCUCAUCAUGAUGAAGAUGAUAAGAAUAAGGUCGCCGGUCAUGAGCAUCACACUACUACUUAUAAGGAAACUAAGUUUUAAUUAUGAAAUGGACCUAAACUUGUUUACUAUGUUUUAGUUCCUUGUUGAUGGUUUUUCUUGUUUAUGAGACCUGUGACUAUAUAUGUAUUGGCUUCUGUAAAAAUAAAGAGUCUCUCUAGGGAGAUUGUUAUGAAUUGCUGCCAUUAUGAUAAAUACUUUGUUAUUGUA